rnacentral:tRNA from 1 species
CGGGACGUGGCGCAGCCAGGUAGCGCACCUGCUUUGGGAGCAGGGGGUCGCCGGUUCAAAUCCGGCCGUCCCGA